GUGAUCAUGGUGUAACGGUUAACACUCGGGUUUGUGGAACCCGCGAUGAGAGUUCGAUUCUCUCUGGUCACCCCA
rnacentral:tRNA from 1 species